GACAUUUCAUAAUGAGACUCUGCCUUGUUGCAAACUUUAAGAGAGUAAGAGUUCAUGAAAACUUACAUUUCCUGGUCUGCCGCAACUCCGAUCUAUAAAUCACAAAAUAUGUGUCAACUUUCAUCAUUGCUCCAGGCCCUGAUCAGUCCUGGAGUCAAGUUCUAGUGCGUGCUCAGUUAAUUACGGGAAGAGGCAUGUUGAAGUCUCCCUCUGUGCUGGAGAUUGUUUGAACUUUAUUGCAACUGAUGAAUUGACCGUCUGGUGAAAAAGGAAAAGAAGCUAUGGUGGCUUUCAACAUCGAGAAGAAUGGGGCUGCCUUCUCCUGGUGUGGAGGCAGCUGUAAGAGGAGGAGACAGAAGGGCGAGUCCUCACUUCAGUUUAGGACAUGUCAUGUUGGAAGUGCCAGCAGACAUGUUGGUAGACAUGUGGAGAGGAUGGUUGGGUAGCCGAGUCUAAGGUGCCAGGGAAACUUAAGAUAACUGUAAAGAUGGAUGCAUUUAGAAAAAUGAGAUUGUAGAACACAUUGUUUUAUAACCUCCUUUUUUUCUUUUAGCUUAACAAUAUAUUGUGAACAUUCUCUUCCCAAUAUCAAUUCUUUGGAUUCAGUUGAGAAUUUUUUAUUGCCACCUGGGAAAUCUUGUAUGCUGGUGUGCUGAUGGUUACCCUUUUCCCCACCUUUAACCAAGGACUGUUUAAUGCCAUCUCUCUGGGCUUGGGAGCUUGGGUGAUACUAAGAUAGGACUAAAAAAAGAAAGAGCACAGUGUGCUGCAGUCUAGACAGGCUUUACUUACCAGACCAAGGAGCACAUGACAGGAAUUUGGUAAGUGCUCCAGCAGAUGGUGAUCACCUCAGAGUGUCCGUGGGGGCUCCAAUGCACCUGCUAUUGAUAGAACAGAUUAGCUGGCCUCUGGGGAGCAUUGUAAGGCACCUAACUGCCAAGGAAAGCCCUUGUGUGUUUUGUGUUUGUGUGUGUGUCACACUUGUGUCAGAAGGUGUCUCCACUCCCAGGCCCACCCCCACAUCUCAGAUUGUAUCACUUUUGAUUUUGGCCAAGAGAACUCCUUGCUAGAGCCCAAUGGAAGUUUGAGGACAGCCUGACCCUUCAACUUUCACCCACACUUAAGGAUGCUUUCCUGGGUUCCUGGUGGUUUGGCCCAACCUGUCUUUUCCCUCUUUUUUAUCUCUCCUUUCAACUCCCACCACUCUUGUUUAGGCUCCAGAAAACCAUCAUGGGCUAAGGAGAGAGGAUUCUAGUCCACAGAAGAGAGUAAAAGGGAAAAAUAUAGAUUCAUGGUUCUGUGGGAACACAUUGCACUUGAGUUUCUGUCUCUGGAACAAGGCAGGGGUCUGCUUGCCAAGCAAAUGAAGAGCCUGAUAGACUGGAGAGUAGAGGAACUGGGCCUUCCAAAUUGAGCUGUGAUCAGGGCAGAGCUAGGCUGGAGUGAGGGAGAGAGGGCAGGGCGGCUGUGCCAAAUCUACCAACUCGGUCCCCAUGUGUGGUGACCUCUUUGAGAUGGCUCAGCUGAGACUGAGCAGAUUGGAAAAAAUGGAAAGUUGUUUUCAGAAAAUGAGCCAGUGAAGAACAGAUGCCCGUGUUUUGCUGUUGCCAUCACUAUGUCUUCUCUGCAUAACAUAUUCCCGAAAGAUGUUUAAAAUGCUUUAGGAAUCAUGUUUCAUCAACAUCUCUUGAUGGUAGGUGGGUGGUAAGGAGGCGGUGAGGCAGUGUGUUCUGUGAAGAUGCUUUAUUUCAAGUAGAGAGUAAAAUCGGGACCACAGGGGGAGGGGACUUUGUAGACCAGAAGCUGUUCAAGUGGGCUCGCCAUGAAGGAAACCACCAAAUGAGGUGGUUCAUUCAUUCAUGAUUCAUUCAUUCAUUUGGCAAGCAUCCACUGGGGUGUCCCCCACGCUGGCUCCUAUGUCAGGGGCUGUGAGAACAACAGUGAAGAAGGUGGUCAUCUGAGAUUAAAAGAAGACAUUCUGAAGGAAAAUAAACAGGUUAUAUUCAUAAUGUUGAUACAGAAAAAAAUUCAAGGCAAAAAUAUGAACAUAAAUAAACGGUAACCAUGAAGCAUGAAAGGUACACAUCCGAAAACUGGUAUUUGAUUACUAAACGGGAAAGCAGAUUUUUUUUCAAAAUUAAAUUUAGCUUUUGGAAUAGAUAAUAAGCUUAGGUGGUUUAAAUACCAAGCAAUACAAAAUAUUAUGAUCUGAAAAGCUUUGUCCCCCAGCCCCUGGACACACCACCCAUUUCUCCCUCAUUUGUGGGUAAUUUGAUUAAUUUCUUCCUUACCUUUCCAGUGUUUCCUUAAGAAAAGUUAAGCGUAUGUGCAUAUAUAUUAUUAUUUUAUCUCUUUCUUACAUACAUGAUGUCAGGCUUCAUGCAACAGGCAUAUUAGUUUUCUAUGCUGUGUAACAAAUUACUGCAAACUUAGUGACUUAACAUAAUGAAUAGUUAUUAUCUCAGCGUCUGUGGGCCAGGAACAAGGGUGUUGCCUAGCCAGGUUCUCCACACAGGGUCUCACAAGGUGGCCAUCAACAUGUUGGCCAGGGACGCCUGGGUGUCUCAGUAAGUUGCG